AGUGGUGCCCUUAAUUACUGGCGUCAGUGAGUUUGUUUUUCCUACUAUCCUGGGUGUUACCUACUUCGACCUGCCCCUAAGAAAACUAUCUAAUUAAUCUUAUGUUGCAAUAAAUAAGUGAAUCGGUGUUGCAGUAACUGAAUUAGCAGUAGAGAGUUAGUCAGUAAGAGAAGGUCAACCAUUGAAACUCUGGAUUCCAAUAGAACAAGUCUAUACCUCUGGGCUCUUUCAACAGCAUCUGAUCUUUCUUGAAGUUAUUCAUUUCAUUAGUUGACCAGAGACGAGAAAUAGGGGUUCUUCAUCCUCUAUGGUGCUAGGCUAGACUUAUGGACUUGGUUUGACUUCUUCCUUUCUUUGUUUUGCAUGCGGCGUACUUAAGGGUAGUGGUCGACCAGAUAGAGAGCUGGUUUAGGUUUACAGUUUACAGUAGCUUGUUUUAGUAACUCCGUAAGCGCAUAAUUGAUAGAUGUUGCUUCUUUGUUUCGAGGUGUGCUAGUUAGUUUAGUGAGUUUGUUUACCAAUUUCUAUAAGAGAUGGAAGAUAUAUGAAUUGAAGAUCCCUCUUGAGAUACUAAUCAAGCUUAUUAGUCGCCCCCAACACCUAGACUUUGCACUUGACCUAGAAUUGAAGGAGGAUUAACUCAAGGCAUCGCAGCUGACGCUGCCCUCGCAUCAAAACUAGUACCAGAUUCAGAACUGGCUUCGGCAUAUGAUCGAGUAUGCUUUCUUCACACUUCAUUCAAAAACUCAUUUGUUAUGUAUUUGAGCACCAGACAUAGAAGAAAAAGGAAAUCCGUUGUUUAUUGAGCACACACAUGUUAUAGAAUAUUGGGAAUAUUACCCACCUGUAUAUAUGCUCAACGAUACUAUCUUCCUUCUUUACCAGAACUAGACUUUCUGAUUGCCCCAACUCGUAUACUCAGUUAAGCGCUAACAGAGCUAAAUCCUCUUAUUAUGAUUAUUAUUACCGGGGGGAUCUAUACUAGACCUAAGACCCUUUGCUUGUUCUCUUGCAUACCUCAGACCCUUUGCUUGUUCUCUUGCAUUGCAUAUACAAUUGGACUCUCCAUCUCGCAUUAACCUAGCUGUCAAGAAAGCAGGGACUGGCAAUACUAAACAAAGUAUUCAGUCAACUACAAAUCAUCCACAGAUUAUAGUGCUAAGAGUAAACUAAUACUUGAUUUUAUCUAUCUCUAGCUGAAGCAACAAAUACUUAGUGGAAUCAACAAGGGAAUAGCGAAUACAAAUGAAUAUCCCGGGACCAACUCUUACUUGACAUGCCCAUCAGUAUUACCUUCCCAACUAGCAGUCUUCUAUUACUUGCUUUUUGUCUGAAGCUCCUUGUUUCUCUUUCUUUAGUUCGGUAUCUAGGCCUACUCUACUUGGUUUCACCCCCGUGUACUGCUUACUUGCAUCAUGUAUUGCUGCUUUGAUUCUUCUACUCAUGCCUCUCUGCCUUGUUUUAUGUAUGUUCUUCCUUGCUCUUAUUCUGACUAUCCUUCCUAUGAGUCUGCCCUCCUUUAUUGCAUUCCGACUACAGAGGUUCAAUCUUAUACUUACAACUAUGGGAACUGGAACGAGACCGCUACCGAUAAGAAUCAAUCUGGAAAUCCAGAAUACUAGGGGUGUGUGUUCCAUAGUAUCGGAAUGUAACUAAGCGUUAAAAGAAUCAAUCCAUAAAUUCAGAAUGCAGGAAAGGAGCAGUGCCUGGACGACUGUAACCAAUACUCCGGUAAGAAGGAACCGAACCUCUCAAACAGAAGAAAUUCACCAGUAAUAGCAGGAAUGGAGCUACUGGCUAACAGGCUAACUGUCCUUACUCUGAUUCUAGCUACCUUGCACUUCAUUCUAUAUCUCUUUGCUAUUGGUCUGUUACGAUGCCUGUCACUUUGAAAAACGUCUUUUGUAUAGGCAUCAAAUUCAUUCUAGGCUCUCUUAGGCGUAUGACAUGGUGGAUUAGCUAUCCAAACUAAUAAAUGACGUUCUAGUUCAUUUGUCACUAAUAUCUUAGUAAAGGAAAGGAUCUAACUGAUGCCAACAAGGAUCGAACCACUGCUAGAAAGAAUAGAACCUCUGCUAUAAAGGCUUGCUUUACAGUAUCUGAGAAUAGGGCUAAGGUCUAGCACAAUACCUUAACUACCAAAUGGGAAUUACACGACUACAAAUCAUAAUUCACUAUCCUGGUAGUCAACCUUAAUUACUAGCUUCAAAAUGGCACUAGAGACUAAGACUCUUCCCCUACUGCCCUCAAUGCUAUAGUUCAAUUGCUAGUCUGACUUGACUCUUUAUCUAAAUCUAAUUCUUCUAAUCCAUAUAUCAAUUCCUUAUUGAAACUAGUUGGUCACCAAGACCUAAAACACAACUGCAAUAAGAAACAACACUGAAUUGGUUUAUGUAUUAGUUAUUGUCACUAACCAAGCAACUCGCCACUACUAUUAUCCAAGUCACUACCUGGUUUACAGCGCUUUCAUGGAAUUUAAUACGAGAGUUGAGUGAUAGUUUUUUCAUUGAAACACAUAUAUAACUCAGUAACCAAACACCGAUUAUGGAAUUGGAAUCCAUGAAUGAAAGUCAGGCAGGAAAGAAUCUUAGUCUGGCUUGCUUUACCUUGACUCUAAGGGCUAUCUUAUUAGGCAUAAAAUGCAUUGUCAGAGCCUUUUCGGGGAUUUUCUCAAUGUAUUUAUGUAUCUUUCAAUUAGAAUGUAUUUAUGCGCGAGUCUUUCCUUUGUAGCGGUAGGGGCAUAAUUGGAAUAAGUCACUAACACACCGGAGGCUCACUAAUGAGUAUACGCUUGGCUCUCUGUCUUUCCGGAGGCUCACUAAUUAGUAUACGCUUGGCUCUCUGUCUUUGUAGCAGUGUCUUGUCUGCUUGGCCGGGGGCAUUUGCGUUUUUUCUCGAUCAACUAUCUGUAUUGAAUGAAGAAAUCAAGAUAUAAAAGAUAUAUGAAAUUGUGAAUCAAGAUCUAGAUGGACCCCUAUUGAUCAAGUAGUGGGCUCCAGGUCUAGAUAAUGGAAUGGAAAGGGUUCGGAUGGGAUUUCGAUCAAGUGAGAGUGCUUAUACUUCUGUCUCAUAGCACGAUGGUUGUCUACUUCUGUCUCAUAGCACGAUGGUUGUCUACAGGGGGCACCUUCGAGUUCUACUCUUCCGAAAACAUACGUAGGUUUAUUGGCUAAUACCUAGCGCUCAUACAUAAGCAGCCGAGUUCCCGAGUCAAGAAAGCAAUGCUUGCCUUUUCUUCAUAGGAUCAACCCUCUUUACGUACGGCAGUGUCAUUAGCAUUUCAAAGUAUGCAAUGCACAUGUGAAAAGAGUACUAAUACGAGAUAGCACCUGGCCCUCCAUUCCAAAGGAUUCUAACGGAAGAAGAUCUACUUUUCGAUAACGUGUAGUGGGGACAGUUCGUCUUGAAAGCAGUGGGAGCCCCAAUACACUACCUGAGAUUGGAAUGAGAUAUCGAGAAAUUCAUUCAACUUCAAAUCAAGGUUUUCUUUGGCUUAAGUAUAGAGGUAGGGCACAUAGGCUAUUGAUAAGUAUUUCAGUAUGAGUCUCCCGCUCGUCUUAGCUAUAGCUCUCUUCUUCCGCAAGGGUAGCUUCUUUGCUUUGAACCAACCCCCGAGAACGAAUUCUUUUGAUUCAAUACAGCCCGCUCUUUUGUCAACUGCUACUGUCAACUUUUAAAGAUACAGACGGUCCUCAUGGCCUGAUUGGGCAAAUGGAGUUUUUAGGGGUGUGCCAUUCAAGGUAAGCAAGAAAAGACAGAAAUAAAGGGAUGGGGCGCUUACUAAGGCAGCUUCCUCUUUCCCCAUAGGGUGUUCUAAAGGUGACUUGUUUCCUUCUUCGGUAGGAUGCUCAUCCCGCUUUGGGCUUAUUCUCGGUUUUUUAGAAUGAUGAUGAUGAUGAUUUGAGCUUUGUCCCCUUUCAGCGCGUUGUUCUUCGUUUAGAUAGAGAUCCUCUUCUUUCCUAUAUCCUUCCUAGAUUCCCCUUAGAAUAUUAUUCCUAGAUUCCCUUUCCUAUAUCCUUCCUAGAUUCCCUUUCUGGAAACUCCAAUAAGCACUCCUAUAAUCUCUCAGAAGCUACAGCAUUCAUUCCUUGAACUUGAAAGAAAGAAUGGAAUAAGUUCUUAUAAAGGAAGAAAGAAUGGAAUAAGUAACACUAUUAUUGUAUAGAAUUCAUUAACCACUAUUAUUGUAUAGAAUUCAUUAACCACUAUUAUUGUAUAGAAUUCAUUAACAACACUAGAAAGACUCUGAAACCACUUCCCUUCUCUUAGCGCCAACCUCUGGAGCACCCUAGCUUUCGAUCAACCCGUUAAGCUUGUUCUGACUCACUUGCUUGUUUAGGUAAAACUAACACUGACGCGGCAGCCAAAGAAAGGACAACUUACUAUAAGAGCUCUCGGCUCGGGGUCACAAAACGGAGCAGGUGCAGUCUACCCCUACUUUAGAAAAUAGAUGAACAAAACGUAGCUGACCAGGUCCAGUCUACCCCUACUUUAGAAAAUAGAUGAACAAAACGUAGCUGACUAUCGGGGUAACUGAGCUUACUCUCUGGGGUCGGGGCGCGCAUUUAGUUAUUGUUGUUCAGGACGGGAGUUUCGUCUAGGCUUUCAAGUUUGCCCAGCUGCUCCCACUCGACUUUAGCGCCCAGAGCCUAGCUACCCGGCACCCGAAACUGUAAAUGCAUUCUUUGUCCUGUAUUCGCCCAUCUUUCAAGUCCUGUGUUCGCCGACCCGAACUCAAUUGGAAAUUACAAGGGAAAGCCAAUCGUAUUAAUAAAGUAGCACCUGACCUAUACUUUCUAUCUUCUGCUAUAGGGUGUAGUGAGCCUAUACUUUCUGUCUUCUGCUAUAGGGUGUAGUGAGUCUUCAUUCUUCCAGAGAUUCUCUUCGGCUUCAGGUCCCGACAAACAGGUCAUUCUCCAAUUCCGUAAUGAGAGCCCGGCCCGCCUCACAAGGAGCAGUAGGCGCAAGAAACCCAGAAAAGGAAGCGCAGAAGAAACUGCUGUGCCUGUUUUCCCGUUAUAUAAGUUUGGGCAACAGUAACAGGCAAUUCAUAAGCUUACCCAUUUCAGUUCCUCUGGCAACUAUUCGAGGUAAAGUUUCUAUUGAUAUUUACUAGAAAAUCGAAAUGAUCACUUUUUAGAAAGAGUACUGGAAUGCGGGGCCCCCUAGAUCAUCUUAUUUAGAGACCAUUGAGGUGAGUUUCCCUUUUCCAUUUCGUCUUGGAGUUCUUUUCUUUGAGGAAUGGCAGCGGGUAAGCACAGUGUGGGUGUGCUCUUUUCUCGUUAUGGGAUCUUUUGCUCGUUAUGGGAUGCAGUGGCUGGUUUCUGGAUUGGAUUCCUUCUUCCCAAAACUCAGAGCUUUACGGAAACACCUGAGUGGUUUUGCAGAAAUGUGGAAUGGUACCCCCUUCAACCUUCAACCUAAUCAGCUUCUUCAAAGUGUGCUCUGCUUGCUCUGCUUUAGGUUUCUGCUCAGUGGUUUUCUCAGUGUUUUCCUCAGUGUUCUCUUUCUUUUUCGCUAGUUUUUUCAGGGUCUCUUCUUUCGAACUUAUUUGGCUUGGUUCCCAAUUCUUCCCAGUGGAGAAAGUGAUCAUCAUAGCGAUGGAUUCCGAAAAGUCCUCGAUAUAGGCUUGUACCGGCCAUGAGGCAAACACCGUUUUUCAAUUCCGUAGUUCUUUUUCGGUAGUGUUCUUGCCAGGGCCCAUUCGGUUUUCUGCGUGUCCUGUUGUUCAAGAAAGCAUAUAUAGCUACAGGUCUCCACGUGUUGCUGAAGAGACACUUUUUGGUCUACCUUACUUCAUGGUUUUCUAUAGUUUUGAAUUCCAUUCCUGCGCUUCCACGUAUGCGAACUCCAAAGCUGUCAGUGUAGCCUUUUCCCUGUGUUUUUUUGGUGAACUUCUUUAGAUGCAUGUGUGCGGUAAAGCGCCAGUCCUCUAUCAACCUUUAGCCGGUAAAGCGCCAGUCCUCUAUCAACCUUUAGCCUAAUAGUCUUGGCGUUACAGCCAUUUUCGCAAUUGGAUUCUUUUUUUGUGUUACCAAGCACCUCUCUCCCUCCUUCAUAUGUCUCUUGAACCAGUGUGCAUUGGGGGUUUCAUCUUUUUGGAUCUUCUUUUUCCCACUCUAGGGUAUUAGAUCCGCGCUAAUUCCUCAUUGUACAUAAUUUGGAUGUUCUUUGAAUUGAACCACUGAACAUUUGUCUGUUUAAGCCAUCUUUGUAUGCAUCUGUAUAAGGUGGCUAUGACCCUCUAUUCUAGCAGUUCUUCGUUCUUUGAGUUCCACUUCUAUCUUCCAAAUCAUUCAUGGAAGUUCCCAUAGUGGCACAUACUAGCAUUGGGCAAAUUGGUGAUGGCUAUAAUGGGUACAUAUCUUUUUGGAUUUUCUGGAAGGGUGUUCUGUACGCCUACAUUUUCUCCCAUCAAGUAUUUCAAGGAGUUAGCUUAGUUUUACAGAGCCAUUGCAAUUUGGUUAGUUCUCAACCCCUUGCUUUACCAAAUCUUCUUCCAAAUGGAAAUCAUCCAAAAUCCAAAGAGCGUAGUGGUCGUGUGCCCCGAUUAAGUCAUAGAAUAUUGUACUCGGUGUAUAGGUGUAUAGCACUGUGCUAAGCAUUUGGCACAUUACAGUCUUUUGUGUUUCAGUCCUCCCAUAAAGUAGUAGUAGCUUUGUCAUGGGUGGUCUUUCAAAGAGAAGGUUGCAUACUACCCAGUCCCAAAAAUCGGUAUUUGUCACCUAAUUCUCCGAAGGUAUAUUCGUUGGGGUUGUUUUUUUCCUUUCUUUAAGUACUCAGUCAAUCUCUUUUGUUUGCAAGGCUUUCAGCACCUUCAUUAGUAUUCCCCUCGUUUCCUCGAAUAUGACUUUGAGGGCAUUAAUGUUCCUUACGAGAUUCGCCUCCCAUUCUGUAUCCUUACGAGAUUCGCCUCCCAUUCUGUAUCCUCAUAGACUUUUUCCCAUUCCCUUCAUUCCUUUAUCUUUCGUACAACAUAUAUUCUCCAUUGUGGGAUCUUUUUAUGCAGUGUUUGCGCCUUUAGGUUUCCCGUAUGUGUUGAGUGCUUUCCCCAAAUGAGUUUCUUUUUCUCAUCCUGAAUUACUUACUUGCACACGGAAGCCGAAGCUCUGUGAAAGGAAAGGCCAAAUAGAAUUGUGCUCCAAAAUGAUGAAGUCUCAUGGGAAAGCCUUUCUUAGAAUAGGAGGGUUAGCUUCUUCUUUGCGCUACCUACUCAACGAGUAUUCCCACGUAGAAAUGGUGUCCUGUUUUUCCGUGCUGUUCCCUCGCCACAAUGAUGGUAGUACAUGCCGUGGCUGUUCAUAUCCUUCUCCCAACAGAAUUCUUAUCUAUGUCUUUCUGGGGUUUGAUCUGCCCCGCUUAAGGUAAGCUGCAAUAAUUUCCUUAUAUGAGUGUUGGACCUCUUGUUCAGAAUGAUCCUUUUUCCACUGUAAGAAGAAUGCAACUGGUUACUUUGUUCACUGGUGUUCUUUUGGAACUUCUCCCUUUUUAUCAUGGUACUUUUUUCUGCUGAAACAAGAUUCUCCUCUUCCUGUUAGGUAAAGUGUAGAGUGCCCCUUCCAUCGGGUGUCCUUCCCACGGUUCCCGGAAGCACUCCUUUUUGUUUCUCUGUUGGGCGUUUUAAGCGCUGUUGAGUUUUCAUCUCUGAUUCCUACACACCUCUUAGGGUUUUCUAUCCGCCGAGGAAAUGCAUUUCUUUCGCAUACUUCUUUCAUUCUCUUUGUCUUCGGGUUGGUUUAAGUAUUCGUUCAUUGACGCCGGUUGUCUGACUCGGAGUGUUUCUUAAGGAUAGUUGCCCGUCCUUUUGGCUAUCUUUUUCGGGAUAAGAGAGAGACCGACUGCUUUUAAGGAUUAUUUAGGAUUGAGUUUUCUCGAGGGUUGAGUUUGCCCCUCUAGCUUUUGCAAGGGUGGAGUUUGCCCCUCUAGCUUUUCCAGCUGUAACCAAUCCAUGUUUGCCUAACUCUCUUCUAAGUGCUUGGCUUCUAAGUGGGGUCUACCUUCUUAUAGCUCUGCCGCACCUUCUUUAUUUCAGAAAACAGGACUUGAACUUGAAACUGGAUACUUUACUGGAUAUAAUUCCUGACGCUCGACGAAAGCAGAACAAGUGAUGUAUUCUCGGGAACUAAACCACGCCUAGUGCCUUGUAUGGUAGUUCUGAAAGUCCUGGGUCACUCAUAUGAUAGGGAAAACACUCAUUUCCGACACCUAAAGGCUGUUCGUAGACUAAACAUCUUACUUGUGCAAAGCCACUCUCUGCUCUGGGACAGGAUGUUGAAUAGGCAAGCAACUGCUAUCAAUCCUGAUUUUCGUAUUCAUGGCGUUAGUCCGAGCGGAGUGUUUUCUCAUAUCUAAAAGAGAAAGAAUGGGUUUCUACUCUACCAUAUAUAAGAAGAUUUUGGCGUAUGUAGAGGGGUGGUGCUUCUUCAGGCAAGGCAAUUCCAUGAUGUUUCUUUCUGUUAUCAGGUAAUCCCGAAAAGAAUGGUUUUCUCCCAUGAUGUUUCUUUCUGUUAUCAAGUAAUCCCGAAAAGAAUGGUUUUCUCCUAUAUAUAAGAAGAUCAAGAAUGGGAAUUUCGAUUUCAUUACACAUCUCUACUUCUACUGAUGGACACAAUACUAACUCCAAAGGUUUACUAGGCGCAAGAAUACUAAGUGGGGAGGUCUAGCUAAACCUGUCUUCGAGGCGGCAGCUUACUACUAAUGACCAAGUAACGGAACAAGCAGCGGGAGCAAAGGACAGAGGAAAAGGACAGAGGAAAAGCUAAUAGGGUAAUAAAGGGUCUUACCUCGCCAAUAAAGAACCAACCUCCAUCGUGGACACUGGAACUUGAACUGCUUGUUCGUUCUGUUCUGUCAACUCCAAGAAACAAACUUACCGAUAGCGGAACUCUCUGCGUCUUGCUUGUUUCUUUCGCCACUAACAUUGAGGACUUGGACUGGACCUAUACUCGGCUCGGGAAAGCCAGACACUUCCCUCUCUGAUAGACGUAAAGCCAAGAAAGAACAGAACCUCUAUCGUGGCCAACAAAGAUUCAAGCUAAGCACACAACCCGAACUCUACAACUAGGCAAAGGCAAUCACGCAAAGGGGUAAAGCCAACCAUCUCUCUCCUCUCCAUAACACCUUGCUUAAGAUCCCUUUCUUUCUUCGGGAACAAAUCCAGCAACAUCUUAUGCAUAUUCUCUCGUUGGCAAUGCCAUUAACUUAAGGGCUCUUCUACAUUUCUUAACCUCGUAUGGCCUUGCCUUCUCAAACACCUUUGCUGUAACUCCACUUUAAGGUUCUGAACCGACAACACAGGCCUUAGACACUAAAGCACUCGAACCAGUAGACGGCAAACCAAGCGCAUCUAUUAUUCUUGACUUCUCCGCCUUCUAUACAGCAUUCCUUUGAUUUGUCUUUGAUCAGUUCCAUUCCAUUCUCAAGGUUAACUCGACCGACUCUCAUGCUAAUUCUCUCUACGAUUUAACUAGAACAUAACCGAUUGCACCUGCUCUUGUUCUUAUUGGGCCUUGUAAGUGCAAUUCAAAUAAGUAGUUUCCAGUGUUGUAUCCUGUAUGUAUAGGGUCAUUUUCAUCACUUAUAUCAUAUGCGAGAUAGCUUCAAUAUUCCCAUUUUCUUCCUUGUUUCAAGUGUCGUUCUGGGCUUUCCCUUCUCUUUGCUUUGCGUGAUUAGCUUUCCUUAAGAGUUAGGGUUUCGUGCUUGUCUUUUGCUCUUUCAAGUCGACGAGAAUCAUAUCAUGAAUAAGAGGUUUAGUCUCAAGGAAAAGUAGAAAGAAUAGAGUGGAGUAUAGAAGUAGGUAAUGUCAUUUUAUAUGAGGUUAAGCUAUACACUUAUAUACUAGUAUUAGAGGUGUAGCCAGAGUAUGGACACCUAUUUCUCAUUAUAGAAUAAGAGGCUUUGCUCCCAUCUUUUCCUGCAAGAUGAUCUUCUGCGCUCGAUAAGAAAGAUUCGAUUAAUGAUGAGGCGUGAAAAGUAUUGCCAGGUUCAGGCCCAACUGAAUAAUUAGUUAGCAAGUAAAUCCCCUGUUUCAUACUGAGUCGAAGUUGAAGCAACAGUGAUAUAUUGAGUUUGAGUUCGAUAAUCAGCAGUGCGCUUACGGGAAGGCAAUUCCAGCUUGUUUACAGGCCAAACAAUAACAAGAUCCGGUUCAUAAGAUGUCUCCGAAGCAGUUCAAAAGUCACCAGCAAAGGGAGAGUCAAGAGCAGUAUCAAGUAUAUUAUUCUUCCAAUUCCGUUUCUGUUCGAGUCAAGCAUGAAAUGAACACAGAACUCGUCUACUUAGAGUGGAGCCAAUAACUUCUCUCUCUCUAUGACUUAGAGCUAGAGCACCAACUACAAGCCAAUCCUUUCAACCAGGCCGAGUAACUACUCAAAAAGCAAGAAUCGGACAGUUAAUAACUUUAUAUAACAAUUCCGUAUUAUGACAAUUCCUGUCUUCAUUCGCCAAGUCCUGUGUUCAAGAGCCAAUCCACUACUAAGUCCACCAAGCUUAGUAUCAUGUUGCGCGGUAGCGAGUUAAUACACGGCGUCAGUAACGGCCAAUCCACUUAUUCUUCCUAAUCGGAUACGAGGCGCAAGAUCCAAUCCAAUACGGGUGUUAGCAUUGUCCUAUAUCUCUCUAUUCUAUUCUGUCUGUUCUUUUCAUUGAACUGAACACUUAUUGUCAUCCCCACCGUAGGUCAGUAGGAGGCGGACCAGCGAGCAGAGCAGCAUACUCCCUUGUUAGUACAUGGAAAAGGACUCUCUAUAGGGAAGGAUCUUUCUUACAGUAUGGCGUGGUGAUAAAGAAUACCGGCUCUCGCGAACCUCUCAGCGGUACAUCAAGGAAGAAAUGCUUUUUCUUUCGUAGAAAAGAAUAGAAGAAAUGCUCCAUCUUGAGUGUAAGAGGCUUGUAUCCGAUACGAAAAGAUGUUGGUUGACCUCAGGGAUGCAUCUCCUUUAUCUCCAUCUUCGAGCCCAAUCAAUCGACCUAUUUAAUGCCGGGUUGGGUGCUUAGCCCUAAUAGGAAAUGCCGGGUUGGGUGCUUCGCCCUAAUCGGAUAGCGAAGAAAGAAAUCUAUCAGAGAGGCGGAUUCCCCACUAUCAAAUGCCAUGGGAAGCCCUCUAUCGCGGAGUCAAGUCACCAGCAAAUGUAGAGUCAGUAGGAGAAGAGAAGGCAGUAGGAGGCUUCUUACUAUACUAUGAGGAAGUUCAGGAGAGGUCAAUCUAAACAAAAUAUGCAGAACUCAUGCAAAGGAACCAUUUAUAUAUCCUAUAUAGAGAAAUAAGUAUUAGCAAUGUCAAGGAGAAAGGGCUUGCAAAGGUCCCGUCCUCUGUCGGGUAUAGAAUGUUCAGAGGCAAAAGAAAAGGGGAAAAACUCCUGGUCUUGCUUGUUUGCUUGUUGAAAAGAAGAUGGUGUGCACGCAUCAUGUAAGAGAUUAACAAAACAUAGCUGACUCUUGACUCCAAAGAAAGCGGACUAAUGUUAUAGGGUUAGCGCAAGUAAAACAAUCAUUUCUUACCGCAUUCACAAGCAAGUAUAACGCAUUCUUCCUAUUCCUACAGAACAAGAAAGAUUUAGGUGGUCGGGAAUGGCAUGGACCUGUCUUUUCUUUUAUUUACAGAGCAGCCUACUCUAUCUCUUCAUUCAUGGCAUGCAUGAGUAUUCAUAUUAAAUGCAAUUAGAAAAGACCACCGGGUUAGCUUAGGAUUUGUACAACUUACCGGCCAUUAGAAAAGAAAAGAAGAAACCUAGAUAUUGAGCUUGGAUGCUGCCCAAUUGCAUAUUCAGUAGGUUAGAAUGCCUUAAUUGCAAUAGGUUUGGUAAAUUCCUUAGUAGAUGUCGUGAGAUUGAAUCAAGAGACCUGUGCAAGCAAGACGGAUUGAAACUCAUUUCAUAGGAUGGUGCACCUAAUCUGAGGCCUGGGACUGAUUGAUACCGACCUGUUCAGUUCCCUGCUAGUCUUGCCUAGUCCCUUUUGAGGUAAUAAGUGUAUAGUCUUCUAUGCCACAGAUUCUAGUGGGAGUGCCCAGGUUACUUUCGAGUAGUCUCUUUAGGGAGUUGCGUUGUUCCGUAUAUCUAUGUUUUUCGUUUUAUAGCCAAGCGGUUCUAUGUAUCUUAGUUCGCGGAGUUGUAGCGUGUCCGGGUAUAUCUUAUAUCACUAUAUCUCAUAGUUUUGGGGAGGAAAGAAAGGAUUCAGAUGGUUAGGAGGGAAAGCGAAGCUAAGUGAGUACUUUUGGAUUUCCCCACCUAGAUAAGCAAAGUGGGUCGGGACGUUUCUUGACACAUGGUUCAACUGGAAAAGAGAAUCGAAAUCGCUAUUGGGGGUAAAAAAGGUAUCUUUAUUGACUCUGGCUGCCGCUACACUAGCUCCCUACCACUUAACUCACUACUAGUAGACUGAACCCACAAACCGAGCCAGCCCUCCUUGCUUUCGCUCUUACGCUACUUUCUCUAAGUCUCAGUUCCAGCUCUGCCAAGCCCUACUAAUUUGCUUCCAAACCGUUCUUGCUUCCCCACUAGCCUACGCCUGUGUCUAAGCCCUACUUUCCCAUGUAUCGGUAUGCCCCUCCUCUUUAUUGAACCCUCGAGUAUGAUUCCGUUUACUUAUGAUAAUAACAUUCAUUCUUAUAUAUUUGCAUGUGUUUUAUUGUUUCCAUAUUCUAUUUCAUAGUAGUUAGUUUGAUUAGAGUCAUUCCACUACACUAGGUUUCUGAUAGUAAUUAGGGCAAACAACAGUCCGCCAAGACACUCGAGCACAACUCUGUAAUAAGCAAAACCAACAAAUAGUCUUGUGGUUGUUAUUAUGCCUCAUAAGUUCUAUUGGCGCGGCCAGUCAAUGUACUUCGGUGUAGUUAUAGCAUGAAAGGAGAGGAGGUAGUUACAGACCUUUAGCGAGGAGCGGGAGACCCGUUUACUAGUUUCUUUCUUGGUUUUUAUUCUCUAGGUAGUAUUUCAUUCUCUUUUCUGUAUUUCAUUCCAAUCUGUAUUGGUUCCAUCCUUAUCAGUAGCAGCUCCAGUCUUUAUCUGGUAGUUCGAUCCCUGGGUGUUAGUUGGAUUUGUUAGGCAGUAGCUGAGAUUCCUAUUAGUAGUAAUAUAAGUCUACAGGGGGGAAAGUCAGAUUUCUAUCAAGGAGUGGCAGAGUUCACGUUGGGGUUGGUGUUGUUUGGUUUCACAAGUGUAGUUGACGCGCAGUAGAUGAAAAGUCAGUAAAGUCCACUUUCAGAGCUGUAUCCAGAGAAUCACCUCUAUCUCUACUUCCUCUUGUAGGGAAGCAUUGUAUUUACUUAGAUAGAUCUAUACCCCAGCUCGCUAACUUAGCUUAUUAUUCGUAUUCUUUGCUUGUUCAUUUCUUGUUCCAAUCUGUUCACAUUUCAAAUGGCUCGAAGACUUAACUAACACAUGUCAAAGUAUAGAGGAGCUUCAUGAAAUUCCUUUUCUUCGCCAGAGAACCCCCGGCCCGGAAGACUAUCUUCAAGAGUGAACUUACUGCUUGGACGAGACAGACCUCUUUCUUCCAAAGAGUGAACUUAUGGAGCGAGGCCCCUUUGUUUCUCCCAUCCCUAAAGCAUAAAGUGGGGGAUUAAUAGAGAAGCCUUAUGGAAUGGGAUAGAUCGAAGAAAGACCGAGUAUUCAUUUAUGCGAGACGCAGAGACGAAGUGACAUCGGUAGAAAUGACGAUAACUUGGAUGCACUGGAGCAAGCUUCACAUCAGCACCCGACGCUCGUUGCGCCCCCUCUUUCUUUAGAAAAUCCAAUAAUAUUCUAUAUUCUAUAUGAACCGUACCCUAACACUAUUCCUUACUGCUUACUUGAAGAUACUUUAUGUUUCUCUUAAGUGUUUGCUUACGGGAAUUCAAUCUAAGCAAGAAUAUCAUCACUUUUCUCAUGCGAGAGAAUCAGCUGGCCCACGGAGAGGUGGAAUCAAAAGCACAAAGGGAAGUGGGAGAUAGCCUUGGAAACAAAUGGUACUUGGGAGCUGCUCCCCUUCCAAGAGGAAAGCCGGGAAAAGUGGAACCUCAGCGUACCGGGCGGAAUCUGAUCCAAAAGAGAAAGAAGAAGUGCCCCCCAAGUCACAAAUUAUCUGACUGAUAGCCUUGUCCGACUUCUAACCCUGCUGAAAUCCAGUAGUUGACUUGACUCAAUCCAUUCCUACAUCCUCCCAAAAGAAAGAGAUAGAACUUUCGCCAUUCUCGUUCUAACGACAGAGAAGCUGAUUCAAGCAUUCGUGGAGAGUCGCCAAGAGAGAGAUCAGAUUGAAAGAACAAGCAUUCCGCGGGAAAACUCAAGAAACUCAAGAUAGAGUGCAAUCCUUUCCUGUUGCAUUUGAGUAAGUAAUAGGCAGUUAGGUUACAUCAAAAUAACAUGACACUUCUAUUCUCUUCUAUUUCUUUACUUUUCUGAAAUAUAUAUUCUUUCUUUGAUUCGAAUUCUCCUUUAUGCGGUAAAACUAACUCCCUAAUAAUUGAACUGGGUAUGAGAACUCCUCCCUUUAAGUAGAAAAUCUUCCAAGAACAGAUUCCUCUAAAUCCAGUUUAUUUGAUAUGCAGCUUCUUUCAAUAGCCAAGUAAUGCUUUCCUGCAGGCGAGACAGAUGGCGAUUCUAUAGCUGCUGAUUAUUGAUUAUCAUUGUCUAUAGCUGCGGAUUCUCAUUGUCUAUAGUUGUUCAUUUCUGAUUCAAUCUAUUCGAUUCCAAUUCCGCGUUAGUGCUUAUAGAAUUAGAACAUCUUGCGUCUAAACUUGUAGGACCGGACCACUACUCGAACCCGGAGCGAUGGGUGUGGGGAAGGAAUCUUAGGGCUUUAGCGCUUCCAUGAAUAAAGAAAGCACUCGAGAAUCAGUUCUAUACCGGGACAAAGAAGAUGAUCACCAGCAGAGAUAGCAAUUCGAACCGUCCACUACUGUGAGGGAGACUGCACAUGUCUUACUUCCUUUGAAUGAAGACAAAGCUAUAACAUAAUAAUCAAUACAUAUUUGUUUCAUUAAAAGAACAUGAUCCCAAUUUUAGAGAAGUAGUUAUAUGAUGCCCUUUUAUCCUCUUUCAAGAUAAGAGAGAGGUCAAAUGCUCCCCUUUUAGGGUACGGGAUGUUGUGAAGGCUCGAUGAUUAGUCUUUAGGAGACCAGUAACCGUUCUACUCUUCACUGGUUAAGAGAUCUCACGGCUUAUUGUGUUUGGGGGUGACAGCCAGGGCUUUCCUUUAGCCCAUACGUAAUGAACAAGAUGGACACAAAGAGAGAGGAACAUACUUUAGCCCAUACGUAAUGAACAAGAUGGACACAAAGAGGAGAAGACGCCCCAAACCGAUUAUACAAAAACACCCAUAAACCAUAAGAACAAUAGCAUGUCCUUGGAGGAGAAGACGCCCCUCUGUCAUCAAGUUUGGAGAAUGAUCGAAGGGAUAAAGAAAGAAUCAUGCGCAACUUCUGCUAGGCUAUAUUGUAGGAGACUAGACUCUGCCCUACUUCCGAAAGCUGACUACUAAGGAAUUGAAAGGAGCUUGGAGCCCCCUCGACGUCUUGGCAAGGUUUGGCAAUGAGACUCCGUUUUACAUCCAUCGAAAGCAGAGAAAGCAAAGGUGCUAAGAGCCUGGAAAAAGGAGUGUUGUGUACUAUUCUGCCACUUCGGGUGCCUAAGCAGCUUUGUAUGAUUCAUAUGAUGUGCAAUCAAUCAGAUGCUGAUUCCUCUGCUUCUACGGGGUAUUAAUCUUCUUAGUCUAAUCGAAUUAAUAUCUUCCCCGCUUAACUUUCAUGAGAGGGAAGCACUUCGUUCGGAACCACGGAACAACUAGGAAGCUAGGACAGUGGGGAAGGAAAAGAUCAAUAGCAAGGGAAGAGAUAGCAUAGAUGAGAGAUCAUAGACCAAAGAUGAGUUCGGAGUAAAUGGAAUCCGAUUCUCAAUCAUAACACGCACAUCUGUCCUUUCUGCCUGGGAGAAACUUCAUCCUUUUUCAUUAGGGCGCAUCUCUCUCGAAAGAUACUCUGACUCAAUCGCAGCUUAACAGGCUCGAUCGCAGCAUCCUUCCUCUUGAAAGAGUGAUUUCGAAGCCCCCUUAGAAACACCUUCUUUUUUCGUUGGUAAUGGUUUCAGGUUUGGAAUGGAUGUCCCAAUUGGGUGAAUUCAGAAACCGAGAUAGAUUCUUGCCCGACCAAAUAAGAGCAGCAAAAACGCUUUUCAAAGAAGCUACUUCCUUAUUAGGGGGCGUACCCAUUGAUAUUUAAUCACUCUCAAACUGGGGUGGCGGGUAGAUACUAGUAAAGACUAAUCCCAUCUUGGAAUUUCACAAUAAGUACCACCGGUGUGAUAGAAUUAGAUUCCGAAUGAUAAGACGUAGGUCGGAUAGAAGGUAUACGAUGGAACCGAAUCGAGCCUACAGGGAAGUUGUUGCUCCUUAGAAUGCCAAACCAAGAAGCAGGCAAGGCUUUCCUUUCUUGUAGUCGGGGAAAGAAUCUUUUACUUGCUCAUAACUCGCCUAGCAACUUACAACUAAGCUUGGACCUAGCUGCCCUGGGAGAGUUUCAUCCUAGUCCAAAAGAGAAUCUGAAGAGGACAAGCAACUGCUCAAAAGACAAAGAGGGAAAGGAACUCCGGCAAGUAGCGACGUGCCAAGGCAAACUCAUAUGAUAGGGAAAGGGCCAAGCAACUAUUUCCGCUAUUACAGUUAUCACUCCUAAUAGAAUAGCAUAACAUAACUCCUAAUAUCCAAAAUAGCAUAACAUCACUCCUUCGAUAAUAGCAUAACAUCACUCCUAAUAGAAUAGCAUAACAUCACUCCUUCGCGACGUAGCAUCAUACUGGAUUUCUACUUGUUCUACAGAGAUACCAUAACUGAACUUUCUACCCUUGCUUUCUUUCGCCCUAGUUUGUUCCUUUGCUUGUGUUUCUGAGACUUAUGAAUUUAGUGCACUAUAGUAUAAGUAGAGAGAAUAGAAUAACAUAAAAACACUCCGGAACCCACCUAAGUUAGCCCUUAGUUAGUCUGGGUGCUUGUGUUGUCUCCUGCUCUGAACCUAUUAUUGUUGGCUAGAAAUCCUAAUCAUAGAAUUGAGCGUGCCCUCCCCCACAUAUAGAAAUUGUUCACAACCCCAGUUUACUUAACUGCAUUGCUUGUUUUCCUUUUGCGUGUUCAUUGCAUUGUCGAACUCAUUAAUGCCAUAUGGGGCUUGUUCCCUGUCACUUGGCUUGUUUCAAAUCAUCCCUCUUUCCACUAAUUUCGAAUAAAUAAAGAAAUCCAUCGAGCAUAGCAUAUAAUAGCUUAAUGAAGAAAUAUCGCAUAUUAUAUAUAAAGGAACUAAACACUCUCUGAAAAAGGAACUAAACACUCGAUCUCUUUAAGAAAAGAAUGGCUACUUUACUUACUCAUAACAGAGCUAGUCCAGCUUUCCCUUGCAGUGGUCGGUAACAAAACCGAAGGGCAGACUAAGGGCCCACAUAAAGAAAGAGUCUUUACGAAAAGAAUCCUAAUGAAAUCGUAGAGUUGAGAGCAUUAGGUAUGUCAUUGUUCCCCGCCUAGGCGCCUAGGUCUUAUAGGAUUAAGGUCACUAACCCAUCCUCUUCUCUACCUAGAGCAUUAAGGUCACUAACCCAUCCUCUUCUCUACCUCGCAAACCAUAGUACAACUAAACAGGGUGAAUCAAACUAAAGGUACGUAAUCAAUCAGCAGAUCAAGCCCCUUUUGCUAAGGAGACACCAGAAUAUAUCCCUUUGCCCACCUCUUAUCUUAGUUGGUGCCCGACCUCGACUUGUUGUUGAAAUGCUUUGUAGCCCUGUCAUCUUUACCCCUUUGGACUGUAUCGUACCGCCCUGGAUUCUUGACUCUAAACCUAAGAAGACCGGUGUCGGUAACACCUCUGGUCGGUAACUACUCGGGAAAGACGAUAGGUAACCACAUGGAUGGAUAGCUUGUGGCCCUUACCCUUAGCCCAAGGUGUCAACGCAAAGGGUGCCAGGAGUCUCUCUUGGUUGCCGGGACGGUGAAGAACUCAAAGUAUAGAUGUAAGGUGAAAGGGCUAGGCGCUUCAGUCAACAGUGAAUAGAGAUUCGUAUGAGAAAGGAGCUUCUAGAGUGGAGUAGAACUUCGCAUUCGGCUUCUGGAGACUUUGAUACUUAUGGUCAUUGCUAGGUCAGGUCUACAGCCUAUAUACUUGCUAUCUAUGCCUAUAUACUUGCUAUCUAUAUUAUAUGCCUAUAUACUUGCUAUCUAUGCCUAUAUACUUGCUAUCUAUAUUAUAUGCCUAUAUACUUGCUAUCUAUAUUCUCUAAAUAAAGCAAGCAACGGGCAGGGCGCAAACACCCAAAGAUACUCGCAUUCAGUAUACCGACCCUACCCCUAUAUCUACUGUUUUCUCUUUCUUUCCCGCUCACUCUUUCCACUCCAAAAAUCCAAUAUAUAUAGAUGGAUAUGCUUUAGUAGAUAGAUAUGAUUUCGUUUUACUUUCCUCGGCGCGUAAGGAGUUGAGAGUUUCAAGAGAAGGAUCUGAAGCGUUAGAGGCAAGUCCGGGAAAAAGGCUGUUUUGGGAAAAGGCAAGUAGCAGAAAUAUGGUUGCGAUACCGUAGUGAAAUGCAUAAGCAAAUGAACUUCCUGUCCUGGUUCCAUUCCAUAAGUUCCAUUCAGGUUUUUAGACUCCAGUUUAUGCUCUAAUAUCAGUAUAAAGUCUUGUGAGGGUAAGUCAAGAGCAGUUUCGUUAUUUCUUUCUAUUAUCGUGGGGGAGCACUAACAUUCCAUUCUCAAGUCCAGUGUUGGGGCGGAAUCUAGUACAUCGAAGUGCUUUUCUGGGAAAGAAGAUAUUACUUGCUUUUAAGCCAUAAAUAAGUGAAUGAGUUGAUUUAGUAUAGACCCACGUAGCGGUAACCAAAGAGAUAGGUAGCGCCCUUAUCCCCAGUUAAGUUCUCAACGAGAGAAUCAGUAGUGUAGCGGUGAAGAAUAGGCUUGGCUCCCGACCCGAAAACAGGACCCCCUGAAAACAGGAACAGUAAUAACUCCCAAUACACAAUAAAACGAGUGCUUUUCUUUUUAUUACUUAUGUGUUGUCGUAGAGAAAGUAUGCAGCUAUGGGUUCUGUAUAUCUCGGUGUUGGUGCAAGUGCAAUUCCAGCCUCUGUGCUGUAAGGAAACAAGUUCUUUUUUUGGAGUUCGAGUAUCAUCUCUGAUAGAAGCUCUGCGUAGGUGCUCUAGCUCUGCUCUAAGUAUGCGAGAGAAUCUACUUUCUAAAGUCAGUCAGCAGAAGCAAGAGAAGUCAAGUCGACAAAAGAUGGAUCUGGAGUUGUAAAAGAGGAAGGAGAUAGAUCUGGUUAUGAAGCAACAGAAUCAAGAUCUUUACCCGAACCGAGUUGCAACUCGCUAAGGUGGGUGUUCGCACUUUUCAAACUCCUAGUCGUUAGUUACUCCAAACUUUUCUAACAGCUAAAGUCCAAAUCAAAACCGGUAUAACAGCUUAAGUCAAAAGAGAAACCAAUGAAGAAAGGACUAGUAGUUGCGCUUGGUCAUUAGUGGUUACUUGGUCAGUUUCAAACAUUCCCAUAUCAAUUAGAUCUUUCUCUUCUCUUAUUAUAGGAUGAAAUUGAGGUAUAGGAUUACAUUUAGGAUGCAACUCGACCAGAAAAAGAAUUUCUACCUAUUCACUUUCACUAUAUAGGGAGAGUCACCUAUAACUUCACUACUUGUUGAGUUCGCCCUUGUAGUAGUUACUAGUUUUGUUUAGAGCAACACCAAGCACAAGUCUCAAAUAUGGGUUUCUAGUUUCAUCAACGAGAUCAUCAAGGGUUCCUCCUUCUAGCUGCUCCUUCAUGAGUUUCAGUUUCCCCUUCAGAGUAGCGGUAAGUAAACUAGUUCAAUAGGUUGAUUACUAAUUCUUAUCAGAGUUUAGGUAAAUCCUCUGACUCCCUAUAUUAUAUGUUUAUUAGCGGUAUUUGCAGUAAAUAAGAAUAUUGAGUAGUUACUACUUGUCUGCUAGUAUAGUAAUAGCUUGGCAAAGGACUAAAAAGCACUCAAUACACUUAAAGAAAGAAAGAGAUCUUCUUCUUAAUACGUACGAUUCCACUCGCCCAGCUUCUUAUCGAACUGCGGAUUAUUCUGAUAUGCCUAUAACGGGGAGCCCACGUAGCAGAAUCAAACCAGAGCAACGGAAUCACAAAGAAAGGAAUUCCAGCUUAGGAAUCAUCAAGCUAAAAAGUGCAUCUGAACUUCAAGUCGAGUGAGGGGUGCCAAGUAACGUAUAACAUGACGCGGCAGUCCUGGAAACAGUAGCUACAUAAAGAGUAGGGGAAUAAAGAGUAUACAGCUUAGUAGGGGAAUAAAGAGAGUGGAAUAGUUAGUUGGGGAACCUAUGCGUUAAGUAAUAAAACAACUAUACUCGCACUAAGAAUGAAACAUUACCCAAACGACUAAGAAUUGAGUAAAUCCAAUACUAUAGCUACUAAUAACAGAAAGAAACAGCUAUUACUUGAAACCCUAAUCUAAGUAAGGGAUAUGAAAUGAAACAAGCAUCCAAUCCAGUAAAAGAACUAUCAUACCUAGCUCAUGAUUAAGAUUAAGCCCUUCCCUUGCCCACCUCCUAUAACUAUGGCACCACUACUUAAAGGGGCAAGAACUCGGAAUAGCUUCCCUACUAGGCACCAGUGGAUCUGAAGUAAACAAAUCAUUCCAAUAAGAGAUUUGACUCAGCCAAGCCGACCCAUCCUCAGGCUACAAAUUGAACUAAUAUGAAAAAUCUUCCGCAUUUACAACUCAGAUCAGAAUUGAACUCACAAGAACAGAAUGCGCUAUUUCGAGUACCCAUUGCUUCUACUAGUUAUUAUAUUAUCUUAUCUAAUUCCUAUUGCGCUAUUUCGAGUACCUCUGACACAAGCACUUGACCACUGAUUGAAUUCCUACUUGCUGCUGACCGACCGACCUUACUUUAGCCUCUUCUUCCUCACCUGCGGAUGCUUAUGCUUCUGUUAUUGUUAUUAUUGAAUCUAUUGUUUCUUUUGCCCAUGGUAUAGAAAGAAAAGAGUAUUGACCCAUCACUAUACCUAAUGUUUAGGCUCUAUUUGGCGAGACCUACUAGACUAGUGUUACUUCCUCUAAGAAUUAAUACAUCUUAUGAAACUUCCAUAUGUAAUAGGUAUGUAUAGGAUCCGAAUCCAGUGCUUUCUUACCCACUUCCUAUUGUCUCCUAAGUAAGGGAUAGAUCUAGCAGUUAUGAAAGCUGGAUCAGAAGCGAGGUCAGAGAUCUUAGUUGGCUUAGAAGCGGGAAGGCCAGGAGAAUACAGUCUCAAUUGGUACUCCCCAGUCUUGUGUUUUACAGUUAUCAUAUCUUUAUUACUUGCUAUGUGCUCGGUUGCCAGAGAGGAGCCAAUUAGUUCUCUCGAAUACUUUCCUCGACCGGUGCGGUACAAGCUUUAGUUUCACUUUCCUCGACCGGUGCGGUACAAGCUUUAGUUUCACUUUCCUCGACCGGUGCGGUACAAGCUUUAGUUUCACUUUCCUCGACCGGUGCGGUACAAGCUUUAGUUUCACUUUCCUCGACCUUCAACUUAAUGCUCCGGACGUUACUCGCCCCAAAAGAGUUUUAGUGUACUUUCCAAGCACAGCAAAUUCUUUAGUCUAAGUUUCCUUUCCUCUCCUUCAACUUAUGCUCCGGUUUUUCCGAUUACCCAAAUCUUUGGAUUUUGCUUUUAGAACUACUAAGUCGGGAGAGCCUGUCUGUGUUCAGCUAUCAAUCUAACUCGAAUCGAAAACCCCUUUGAUAAUGUAGGAGCGGUUUCAAGGUGAAAUAUCAAGUUAGGAGAGUAAGGCUUCCAUUCACAUUCAAGGGAUCAGUCAAAAGUCAGGAGUCGGGAGCAAGUAAAGUAGCCAAAAUACAGGACUUAUUCAUAACCUUAGGACAAGUGGGGGUUCCUGCUUAAUCCGGAGUUUCUUCUUUCUUUGUUGGCGUAUAUAGAGGAGUUGGCUUACCAGAGAUCAGUAGUUGGCUUACCUGAGAUCAGUAUCAGAGGCAAAAGAGAUAGAUCCAGUUACUCACUCGCAUUCAAAGAAAUAGUCUAAGAUAGAAUACUAAGAAUAGGGGCCACGCGGAUAAGCGACUACUCUCCGUUUCCGUUUCAAGAUCCGUCGUAUAUAGAUAGAAUAGAUUCCACUGGCACUUGCCUCUCUUGCUCUUUCAACUAACCUAACUCCCAAACACAUAGCAAGUAAUAAAUCACUGGUCUACUUCCAUUAAUGACUUGGUAGAGGCGGAACCCCUGUUGCAAUAGUACCCGAUCCAUAAGAUAAUAAUGAAUUUGAUAGGGACCAUAGUUACCGCAACUCAGCAAUCUAUACCAGAACUUUAUGAACUGACCUCGAUCUCAUCCCUCUAACUAUUCUUAUUUCAACAAGCAGCUGGCUUCUAUUAAGUGAAUGAGGCUCCAAAAACAUAGCAAGUCAGUCAGCUGGACUACUAUCGAUCAAGGCACCGGACUAAAGUAUAUGCUUGGCGAGUGGAAUCCUAAAUUGGUUGAUAGGCAAUUGAAUUAAUGGAUAUCCGGGGAACAAGCUAGGAUCGGAGUAAGUAGUAACAGUAUUAGAAGCAGUGGGUUCAGUCUAAUAGAGUAGCCGCAUUCGUAGAAGCACCAGUAAUCGAAUGGGAUAGAGCAACGACAGACUCAUCAAAGGGGUGUAAGUAGUAAAAGAAUAAGAACCUGUUAAAGGCAGACUCAAACAAUAAAGUAGGGACUAGGUUAAGUGGUAUCAGACUCAUAGGGUGGAAGAGCAGCCCUGGGAGCAGUAGUACUAUCUUGAAAGCCAGCGAAGUAAGCCUAGAUCUCAAGCUACAGAGAUUCGAGAUAAGUAAGGGCUGCCUUGUUAUCAGCGAUGCAAUUCCUCCAGCGGGUCUCAUUGGUCUCGUAGUUUAGCCCGAUAUCUUGUAUGUGGACCAUAAGAGGAGUUUACCCUGGGUGUGUAGACUCUCAAUCUGGCUCUGGCGUGAAACCCUAGUUGCAUCUGUGCUCUUAUAUAAGAUAGAAAUCCAGUUGUCAUGUUUUUCACUGUUCACUUGUAUAUAAGGGCUAUCUGUUCUGUUCUCCACUCAAGCUUGCACUGACUGAUACCACACUGCUGAAGAUCCUGCCGUUGCUUGGCCCGGAGUCCUAUAUUAUACCAUUUCCUUUAUACCUACAGUUCGACUUGAAUUCGUGUUUGUUGGCGUAAGUCCAGUCAGGAGUGGAAGUUUCCGUUGAGGUCGACAAAGAAUAUCUGCCCUCUUCCGCGCUAAGUAAAUCAGUGUAAUCGUAUCUCUCAAAUCAUCUCGAAUCCAAUGCCCACGCCAUGUAACUCUGCUUGUUAUGAUGGACAACUAACAUAAGCAUAAGAAAGAAUGGAAUCUAGAGAAGAAAGAGCAACGUAUAGAAUGUCAAGUAAGAGUGGAAGGGUUAACUCACUAACGCGUAACUAGUGACUAGUUCCUUCGCUACCCGGAGACAAAGUCUGCAAGCGGUUCAAUGAAAAAGAGGACUCUCAUUCAUUCUUUCUUUAUAAAUGAAGAACUGAUUUCACUCUAACUCGAACAGGGGCAAGCUACUAAAGACUAGUAUAGUAAGGGCAGGGUACUAAUAAGAAUUCAGAGGACCCCUGUGGUAUAAUAAUGAUAAUAUGGUAUGAUCCAGCGGCGAAGCUACAACUGUCGACUGAACCACAAGACUGCAUUUCCUCAUUGCUUAACACAAGUACUACUUCUACUUUCUUAUCAUUUCCACCAGCUCCGGUCCUUUCUUCUGCCCUUAAGUAAAUGGGAGUAAAGAUCAGCUCCACCAGUUGCUUCUGCGGAAGGUAUAGUAGCUCUUGUUUCUGGAUUUGGAACUAGCUUCUGUACUUUCUGACUGGAACAAGACUGGAAUUGCUAUGAGACAAGUAACGACUAAUCUAAUCUCAAGUCAGCAUCAAGCGGGUAAUCCAAAUGGAAGGAUGGGUUAAAGUAUACACAAAAAAGGAAUGAUUUCGCAUCGCCAAGACGACAAGCAACGACAUAAGACGGCCAAGUAACUGCUAACGACCAAGCCGACAGGCAAUACUUUAACUACUUACUUGGGCCAAGCCGACAAGCAGCCAAGUUACUACUACAAACACAUAACUACAAGUAAAGCCUUCCAGAUCCAAAGCAAAGCUGCUCAUCUAACUCAGGAUAUCCCUAUCUUUCAACUAUCUCUCUCCUCUAGCUACUACUACACUACUGUUAUUGCUCAUCUAACUCAGGCUAUCCCUCUACUCUUUCUACAAAUACAGUUAUUGCUCUUGACUACUCUAUUACUUGUUGGGGAAAUCAUCUCUCUUUUGGAUCGGUCUAAACCGAGAACCACUUACCAGCCAGCCGACCUCAACUCUUGCUAACCCGGACUGCCGCUACAUAGUAGUAAUGUCUUGGCCCAUCUCACUUAAUAAUCACUUUCUAUAGGAUUCUGUUUAGAUCACCUAGACUCCACUCGCCCUCAAAGAGACUAAUAUGAACCGACAACAGGACUUGGUCAGGAACUGGGGAUGAAACAACUAAUUCAUCUACCGACUUAAUAGAAGGGCAACCACUACGGAUGAAACUAGACCACUCCACUCACUGAAGAACGGCUUGCGCACACGUUAGUACCCGCUCGGCUCGCUCACAAGGGAAAAUUGACUACUCUAGCGCGUGUGACACAUAUAGAAUUGAUGAAACAAACAGCCGACUCCGGACUCUGAGGCAUGGCAUAGGCACCGAAAGAACUCUUUGAUACUUAUUAUGUUAUGGCAAACGAAACUCACUUGUUAAACUCAUAUCGGCAAACGAGAAGGGAAAUCCAAUAAAUCACACUUUGGAUUUAGGUCCCUAUUGCUUAUUUAGGUCCCUAUUGCUUUAUAUGUGGGUGGUGCAGCAUCUCAGAACUAUGUAGUGUUUGCUUACGGGAAUUCUAUUGUAUCUAGAAGCUUAAGUAGAAAGGCGUAGCUCGCUAACACACUGAAUUCCUUUCUUUCGUAAAGUUAAGGUGCGUUAGUGAGUCUUUCGCUGCGCUGUAUGUAAGCCGUAGAAAGUUGAGGUUAAAGAUAGGGUUGUGAAAGAUAGGGUGAUUUUGAUAUAACUUGGUCAAAUUAGUGAUAGAUUUAAGCAGGUAAUACGAGAUGAGAUAGAUUUAAGCAGGUAAUUCGAAAUAGAUGAUGAACAUAACAUCUUUAAGCUUACUGCUGACUCUCUUCUUGGUCCAUUACAACGGGAGAGAAAAAGUCAUGUUGCUUCGGUGUUCCUAAGCUUGUUUGGUGUUAACUAUUACUAUAUGGUUUGUUACCCGCUUCUUCUAUCUUACCUUCUAUCUGACCAGGCUAAUUCUGAUGUUUCAUCUACUGAUCUCGGAUACAAAACUAUUACUGCUGAGUCUGGGCCUGCUCCAUCUUUGGCUGAUGAUACUAAUAAAGCGCUUAUUCUUUCUACUACUUGGAAAGCGCUUAUUCUUUCUACUACUUUUUCCAAUAACCUCUCUUCAUAGACGGUCUUGUCUUGAACUUACAAUAAGGGCCUCUACUUUAAGACGAAAACACACUAUAGUUAUACAAAUUCAUAGCAGAAAAUAGGUAAGUAAUUAAUGUUGUAAAAGAAAGGAAAGUCAUAUAAGAGUAUACAAGGGGGAGGCCUCAUAGAAUACUGUAAUAAAGAAGAUAGGUAGGGUAGGCAAGAAGAUAGGUAGGGUAGGCAAGAAGAUGGGUCGGGUAGGCGACAAUCAACUACAGAAGCGCAAGGUUUCGUUUUUGUUGUUGUCGACGAACAAGCAAUUGAAUCUGCAGAACAUACAAGGGCUUAAUAACUCAUUCCUUAUUCCUUAGAGCCCACGUAGUGGCAACCAACCAGCUAUCAUCUAACAGCUUAGGUAAUUAAACAAGCAAUGUAAGUAUCCGUUGACUUAUCACUGGCCCGCCUACAGCUCAGAGUCUCGUUCUAGUAUCGUAGCGGGUGCAUUAAUAGUGGAGUAGCAUAGGUGCGUAAGGAGAAAGGAAAGGCGAAGUUCAGUGAAGAGCCCCGAGCAAGAAGUCUAACAAGCGAUGGAAACAAGUCAAAAAGCCAGAUAAUAAGCUUAGUAUAGUAACGAGUGAGUUUGAAAGGGAAAGUCAAUAAAACCUCUGAUUCUUAUCUCUUAGCCUGAAAUAUUGACUUGUUAUUAAUGCCGGUGAACAAAAGUAGUCACUUUUCUGCUUGUUGGAUUCCAGUAGCUUCUUCUUUCGUCGCCAAGGAGGCGGGACAAUCUGUUGACGUGCACUCAAUUCAACAAUAAGCAAGCCGUUGCGCAUUAGCUUACUUGAGCAAGUGCCGAUAUGUGAUGUUGUAUAGGAGUGAGGUCACAUUCCAAUCUUAGAUGCAAUUUCUUAUGGAGAGAACAAACAAAGGGGCAUAAACAUAAUAAUUUGUAGUGUUUUGAAGGGUGCGCCCUUGAUAUAAGUAGUGAUUCAAGCUACGGAACAAGC
rnacentral:lncRNA from 1 species